rnacentral:rRNA from 1 species
UGGGGAAUCUUGCACAAUGGAGGCAACUCUGAUGCAGCGACGCCGCGUGAGCGAUGAAGCCCCUCGGGGUGUAAAGCUCUUUCGGCAGGGACGAUAAUGACGGUACCUGAAGAAGAAGCUGCGGCUAACUACGUGCCAGCAGCCGCGGUAAUACGUAGGCAGCGAGCGUUGUUCGGAAUUACUGGGCGUAAAGAGUGUGUAGGCGGUGUUCUAAGUUCGGUGUGAAAUCUCCUGGCUUAACUGGGAGGGUGCGCCGAAAACUGGAAUGCUCGAGCGUGGGAGAGGAAAGCGGAAUUCCUGGUGUAGCGGUGAAAUGCGUAGAUAUCAGGAGGAACACCAGCGGUGUAGACGGCUUUCUGGACCAUUGCUGACGCUGAGACACGAAAGCGUGGGUAGCAAAC